rnacentral:rRNA from 2 species
CGCGAAUAGCUCAUUACAACAGCCGUUGUUUCUUGGAUCUCAUCCUUACUUGGAUAACUGUCGAAAUGCGAGAGCUAAUACAUGCAAGAAGCCCUGACCUUUUGGGAUGGGUGCACUUAUUAGAGCAAAACCAAUCAGCCUCGGCUGUCACAUUGGUGAAUCUGAAUAACUGAGCGGAUUGCACUGGUCCUAGUACCGGCGACAUAUCCUUCAAGUGUCUGCCUUAUCAACUUUCGAUGGUAGUUUAUAUGCCUACCAUGGUUGUAACGGGUAACGGAAAAUCAGGGUUUGAUUCCGGAGAGGGCGCCCGAGAAAUGGCGACCACUUCCAAGGAAGGCAGCAGGC